UGGCGAGCGGCGGACGGGUGAGUAAUGCCUAGGAAUCUGCCUAGUAGUGGGGGAUAACGUCCGGAAACGGGCGCUAAUACCGCAUACGUCCUACGGGAGAAAGUGGGGGAUCUUCGGACCUCACGCUAUUAGAUGAGCCUAGGUCGGAUUAGCUAGUUGGUGAGGUAAUGGCUCACCAAGGCGACGAUCCGUAACUGGUCUGAGAGGAUGAUCAGUCACACUGGAACUGAGACACGGUCCAGACUCCUACGGGAGGCAGCAGUGGGGAAUAUUGGACAAUGGGCGAAAGCCUGAUCCAGCCAUGCCGCGUGUGUGAAGAAGGUCUUCGGAUUGUAAAGCACUUUAAGUUGGGAGGAAGGGCAGUUACCUAAUACGUGAUUGUUUUGACGUUACCGACAGAAUAAGCACCGGCUAACUCUGUGCCAGCAGCCGCGGUAAUACAGAGGGUGCAAGCGUUAAUCGGAAUUACUGGGCGUAAAGCGCGCGUAGGUGGUUUGUUAAGUUGGAUGUGAAAGCCCCGGGCUCAACCUGGGAACUGCAUCCAAAACUGGCAAGCUAGAGUAUGGUAGAGGGUGGUGGAAUUUCCUGUGUAGCGGUGAAAUGCGUAGAUAUAGGAAGGAACACCAGUGGCGAACGCGACCACCUGGACUGAUACUGACACUGAUGUGCGAAAGCGUGGGGAGCAAACAGGAUUAGAUACCCUGGUAGUCCACGCCGUACACGAUGUCAACUAGCCGUUGGGAGCCUUGAGCUCUUAGUGGCGC
rnacentral:rRNA from 1 species